UACGGGGGGGGCAAGCGUUGUUCGGAAUUACUGGGCGUAAAGGGCUCGUAGGUGGCCAACUAAGUCAGACGUGAAAUCCCUCGGCUUAACCGGGGAACUGCGUCUGAUACUGGAUGGCUUGAGGUUGGGAGAGGGAUGCGGAAUUCCAGGUGUAGCGGUGAAAUGCGUAGAUAUCUGGAGGAACACCGGUGGCGAAGGCGGCAUCCUGGACCAAUUCUGACACUGAGGAGCGAAAGCUAGGGGAGCAAACGGG
rnacentral:rRNA from 1 species